rnacentral:rRNA from 1 species
UACGUAGGUGGCAAGCGUUAUCCGGAUUUAUUGGGCGUAAAGCGAGCGCAGGCGGUUGCUUAGGUCUGAUGUGAAAGCCUUCGGCUUAACCGAAGAAGUGCAUCGGAAACCGGGCGACUUGAGUGCAGAAGAGGACAGUGGAACUCCAUGUGUAGCGGUGGAAUGCGUAGAUAUUAGGAGGAACACCAGUGGCGAAGGCGAUUUGCUGGGCCAUUACUGACGCUCAUGCACGAAAGCGUGGGGAGCAAAUAGG